GCACCCGUAGCUCAGCUGGAUAGAGCGCUGCCCUCCGGAGGCAGAGGUCAGAGGUUCGAAUCCUCUCGGGUGCG
rfam:Idiomarina planktonica strain CGMCC 1.12458 genome assembly, contig: Ga0171582_11